UGGGGAAUAUUGCACAAUGGGGGAAACCCUGAUGCAGCGACGCCGCGUGAACGAAGAAGGUAUUCGUAUCGUAAAGUUCUGUCCUAUGGGAAGAUAAUGACAGUACCAUAGAAGAAAGCUCCGGCUAAAUACGUGCCAGCAGCCGCGGUAAUACGUAUGGAGCGAGCGUUGUCCGGAAUUAUUGGGCGUAAAGGGUACGCAGGCGGUUUAAUAAGUCGAAUGUUAAAGAUCGGGGCUCAACGCCGCAAAGCAUUGGAAACUGAUAAACUUGAGUAGUGGAGAGGAAAGUGGAAUUCCUAGUGUAGUGGUGAAAUACGUAGAUAUUAGGAGGAAUACCAGUAGCGAAGGCGACUUUCUGGACACAAACUGACGCUGAGGUACGAAAGCGUGGGGAGCAAACAGG
rnacentral:rRNA from 1 species